UCUGGUUGAUCCUGCCAGUAGUCAUAUGCUUGCCUCAAAGAUUAAGCCAUGCAUGUCUAAGUAUAAAUAGUAUACAGUGAAACUGCGAAUGGCUCAUUAAAACAGUUAUAGUUUAUUUGAUAAUUGACAAUUACAUGGAUAACCGUGGUAAUUCUAGAGCUAAUACAUGCUUAGACGCCCGACUUUAUGGAAGGGUGGUAUUUAUUAGACUGAAGCCAAUAUUCCUUGUGUCUAUUGCGGUGAUUCAUAAUAACUGAUCGAAUCUCUUUUUGAGAUAAAUCAUUCAAGUUUCUGCCCUAUCAGCUUUCGAUGGUAGUGUAUUGGACUACCAUAGCAGUAACGGGUAACGAAGAAUUAGGGUUCGAUUUCGGAGAGGGAGCAUGAGAAACGGCUACCACAUCUAAGGAAGGCAGCAGGCGCGUAAAUUACCCAAUCCUGACUCAGGGAGGUAGUGACAAGAAAUAGCAAACCGGGAACCUCAUGGUUUCACGGUAUUGCAAUGAGAACAAUUUAAAACCCUUAGCGAGAAUCAAGUGGAGGACAAGUCUGGUGCCAGCACCCGCGGUAAUUCCAGCUCCACUAGCGUAUAUUAAAGUUGUUGCAGUUAAAAAGCUCGUAGUUGAACCUCUGUCUGGGGCUAGUUUUGGCUUUGGUCAGGCUAGUUCUAGGCAUCCGCCUACAAGACUUAGAGGGCAUUCAGUUGUUCACUAGGAGGAGUAGGCAUUUUACUUUGAAAAAAUUAGAGUGUUUAAGGCAGGCAAUCGCCCGCAUAUAUUAGCAUGGAAUAAUAGAAUAGGACACUUUUCCAUUUCGUUGGUUAUUGGAAUCGUGUAAUGAUUAAUAGGGACAGUUGUGGGCAUUUGUAUUUAAUUGUCAGAGGUGAAAUUCUUGGAUUUAUUAAAGACAAACUAACGCGAAAGCAUUUGCCAAGGAUGUUUUCAUUAAUCAAGAACGAAAGUUAGGGGAUCAAAGACGAUCAGAUACCGUCCUAGUCUUAACUAUAAACUAUUCCGACUCAAUGUUUGACUGGCUUAUAUAACCAGUUGAGCGUUGUAUGAGAAAUCAAAGUCUUUAGGUUCUGGGGGGAGUAUGGUUGCAAAGCUGAAACUUAAAGGAAUUGACGGAAGAGCAUAACCAGGAGUGGAUUCUGCGGCUUAAUUUGACUCAACACGGGGAAACUUACCAGGUUAAAACAAUAGUGGGAUUGACAGUUUGAGAGCGCUUUCUUGAUUGGUUGGGUGGUGGUGCAUGGCCGUUCUUAGUUGGUGGAGUGAUUUGUCUGCUUAAUUGCGUUAACGAACGAGACCUUAACCUGCUUACUAGCCUGGCGAUCAUCAAUC
rnacentral:rRNA from 1 species